AUACCCCGGAAGUGCUGCUUUGUUUUGAUUCGCUCCUGCAGAUUUUUAUAGGCAAAAGUAAAUUUUAUGUGUUUCUUUUAAUGCAAAUAAUUUAUAAAGAAAUCUUGACCGAAAGAACAGGAUCAAAUGCAUUAAACCGCUGUGUUUUAUGAAACUAUGGAACAGCAGGAACAGGUGGAGUGGGACGACGUGAACAAACUCCUGCAGCAUCAUGGAUUUAAACCGGUGCAUUUCGCAGAUCCAGUGGAGAAUAAAAGUUUGGCAGACCUGGUUUUGUUGGACAAGCGCACGGCAGUGGAGAUCAGAGCCACACUCAGAGUGAUGCUCACAGACUCAGAGCGAAGACAACAGCUCAUCCAGGAACUCAUCAGGACCAACAGCCAACUCAAGGAGGAUGUUCAGAGCCACAUGUCUCGCUCUCUGGCUCACACACAGAGAGCCUCAGACCUGGAGAAGCUCCUGGACCAGGUGAGGCUCAGACUGGCGGAGCUGGAGGACAGGUGUGUGGACAGAGCCGCGCACACACAGGGAGAGAUACAGGGGCUGCAGAGGGACAAAAUACACGCACAGAGGUUGGUUCAGGACCUGGAGCAGACUUUGUUGAAGCAGAGAGAGGAGAUCUCAGAGCUGCAGAGGAAGCUGCACUUCGCUGUGAGGUCAGAGGAGCAGCGUGUUUCUCAACAAAGUCAGACAUUUGAACUGAUCUGCAGAAGAACUGUGAGGCAAAGCAACGCACACGACCAACAGAUUUUAGACGUGAUGGAUCAUUAUGAAACCAAAAUGUCUCAACUGCUGGAAGAGCUGAGAAGAGCAAAAGGAGAAGACGUGCCUCUAGAACAAACUUCAAGCAGCGUCUCACCAACUUUUAAAACUAUGAUCAAAGCGUUUAAAGAGGAGCAAAAAGAGAGUAGAAACCAAAUAGAAGAACUCAAGAAGAAAGUGGAGCAUCUCAAACAGGAGCUGGAGACACGACCAACUUUAAAAGAGCUGAAAUUUUACAAACACAAGGUUCGACGGAUCGAGAAACUUUACAACUUGAGAUUGGCUCAAGAUGAAAAUUCAUUUGAGAUUCACGACAGUGGCUCAGACGCCGCGUUAUGCACCCAGUACCAACAAUUGUUGAGUGAGAUCAGCGCCGUGGUGACGGGUCCAAAAGCUCCUCUGAAACUUCACAAACAAAAACUCGACCAAGACUCGAGAAAACAGUUUAAAACUCUGCUCCCGACACUAAAGCUGUGGGUCCAACAACUCACACUACUCAAGGAUCUGCAGCAGAGCCUAAACAAACUGUCCACUAAACUGUUGCCAUGGCAGCCGUCAGAGGAGAGCUCUUCUUCUGCUGAAGCGGCCAAAGUGGAGGACAUGAUGCUUCUGGUGGACACACUCCUGGAAAACACCUCCACGGACGAUGAGAAGGUUCUGCGGAGUCCGACCCGUCACACUCUCAGUUCGAUGGUGUCUCAUUUUCAGAAGCUGUUCGAUGUUUCGUCUCUGAGCGGAGUUUUUCCUCGAAUGAACGAAGUUUACAGCCGCCUCUGCGAAACGAACAACGCCAUGAGGAACAUCAAGGACGCGCUCAACAUCGACAGCAGAGCCACUUGUGCUGAGGUGGUGAACGCUGUGACCAGACUCAACUCUCAGACACAAACCACAGUGCAGGAUCUGCUCGGAGAAGACGACAUCGACAGUAUUAUCCAAAAAGUAAAGGAUCAUGACGAGUUUUUUCCUGCUUUCCACUCAUUUAUCAUUGACAUCUUACAAACAUUGGGACUAACUCGACUCGACGACAUCCUUCCUGCGCUGGAGACGUUAAAACAACAAGCUGCUGCGUGAUAUGAAUUUUUUACUGGGUUCAUAAAAGUGAAUAUCAUAAGAAAAUGUAAAAAUGUUCUGUUUUCAGAGUUCCAGACAAAACCUGUAGCGCCCCCUCUCUGCAGCAGGACGUCACAGCAACAACAAAGAAUGGCGGAUGUCUAAAUAAAUUCAAAAAGCCCUA